AAGAGGAAGGAACAGAUAUAGAGGAUUUAAAAAAAGAAUUGGAAGGAUAUCAUAAUAGACAGUUCUGCUGAUUAACAUUAUUCUUGGUGUUCUGUCCUGAGGCUGCUGACAAAUUACUACCUGCUAAAACAGACUCCAGAGACAGGACUCUUCAAGUGGA
rnacentral:lncRNA from 11 species